UUUCGUAAGGCUUUGCUUACCAAAGCCACUACUAACUAGACCCCUUUCAUUUGGCUUUUUAAGCGCUUCAUAAUACGGAUAAGCUGAUACCGGUCGAUACCCGGGUAUCGAUUAUAAAUUAUAACGCUUAUUCCAUUUUCAACUUUCUCUUCGUAAAAAUAGAAUCAAAUAUUGCUUAUUUAUAGUU